rnacentral:lncRNA from 1 species
AAUCUCCACCGCCUCCGGUUAAAUCUCCUCCACCUCCUUAUGAAUACAAAUCUCCUCCCCCUCCGGUUAAGUCUCCUCCACCACCGUAUUACUAUCAUUCACCGCCGCCGCCGGUGAAAUCCCCUCCCCCUCCUUAUGUAUACCACUCUCCUCCUCCUCCAGUGAAGUCUCCUCCACCACCUUAUUAUUACCACUCUCCACCACCACCCGUGAAAUCUCCUCCCCCUCCUUAUGUAUAUCACUCUCCUCCACCUCCGAUUAAGUCUCCACCACCACCGUACUACUAUCACUCACCACCACCACCGGUGAAAUCGCCUCCUCCUCCUUACUAUUAUCAUUCUCCACCACCACCGGUUAAAUCUCCACCACCACCAUAUUACUACCAUUCUCCACCACCACCGGUUAAAUCUCCACCACCUCCAUACUACUACCACUCUCCACCUCCUCCGGUCAAGUCUCCACCACCACCGUACUACUAUCACUCUCCGCCUCCUCCGGUCAAGUCUCCUCCACCACCGUACUACUAUCACUCUCCACCUCCUCCGGUCAAGUCUCCUCCACCACCAUACUACUACCACUCUCCCCCUCCUCCGGUGAAGUCUCCACCACCACCGUAUUACUACCACUCUCCUCCUCCUCCGGUUAAAUCUCCACCACCACCAUACUACUAUCACUCUCCACCACCACCGGUCAAAUCCCCACCACCACCAUAUUAUUACCAUUCUCCACCACCACCGGUAAAGUCACCACCUCCACCAUAUUAUUACCAUUCUCCUCCUCCUCCGGUAAAAUCACCACCUCCACCAUAUUAUUAUCACUCUCCUCCUC